UACGGAGGGUGCAAGCAUUAAUCGGAAUUAUUGGGCGUAAAGGGCGCGUAGGCUGGAAUGAAAGUCAGAUGUGAAAUCCUGGGGCUCAACCUCAGAACAGCAUUUGAAACUUCAUUUCUUGAGGGUAGGCGGAGAAAACGGAAUUCCACAAGUAGCGGUGAGAUGCGUAGAUAUGUGGAAGAACACCGGUGGCGAAGGCGGUUUUCUAGCUUACUCCUGACGCUGAGGCGCGAAAGCAAGGGGAUCAAACAGG
rnacentral:rRNA from 1 species